UAUACACGAUAAUAAUUUCCAGUUAUCGAGUUAUAACAAUGAACAAUAGUAUUCACCGUGACACUUUUAUUAGUUUUGUGAUAACAGAAUGGUAUAUUAACUAAACGAAUAUCACUAAUUCAAUCAGUGUUUUCUUGAAUCCCCGAUCACAAGUACAUCUGAAGAUGUCACCUAUCGUAAAAAUUUGUCUGCUUAUGUUAGCUUUCUUAUGUUUGAGAGCAGCUAGCAAUGGGCAGUACUUUUAUAUGUUCCAAUUCGGAUACGUCAUUGUGCUUCUCUUGGCUUGAGCCCCCCCCCCACCCACCUGAUUUUGCUCAAGAUCCCUAUGGUUAUGGACAGAAUGGACCCCAUUAUCCUUAUGCAGAUUGAAAAGUUGAAAUAGUCUUCAAUAAGCCAAGAUGCUCUGAAAAGUUUGCAGUUUCACACUGGAUUGAAAAUAAGCGCUUUUUCCUCAUAUUAAAAAUAUUAUAAACUAUGCAUUAAAAUGUACUAUGUUAGU